rnacentral:rRNA from 1 species
GGCGAACGGGUGAGUAACACGUGGGUGAUCUGCCUUGCACUUCGGGAUAAGCCUGGGAAACUGGGUCUAAUACCGGAUAGGACCAUGCUUUAGUGUGUGUGGUGGAAAGUUUUUCGGUGCAAGAUGAGCCCGCGGCCUAUCAGCUUGUUGGUGGGGUAAUGGCCUACCAAGGCGUCGACGGGUAGCCGGCCUGAGAGGGUGUACGGCCACAUUGGGACUGAGAUACGGCCCAG